rnacentral:rRNA from 1 species
UACAUAAGGCCCGAGCGUUGUCCGGAAUCAUUGGGCGUAAAGGGUUCGCAGGCGGAAAUGCAAGUCAGAUGUAAAAGGCAGUAGCUUAACCGCUGUAAGCAUUUGAAACUGCAUAUCUUGAGAAGAGGAGAGGUAAGUGGAAUUGUUAGUGUAGCGGUGAAAUGCGUAGAUAUUAAAAAGAAUACCGGUGGCGAAGGCGACUUACUGGGCUCAUUCUGACGCUGAGGAACGAAAGCGUGGGUAGCAAACAGG